rnacentral:rRNA from 1 species
AUUGAACGCUGGCGGCAUGCCUUACACAUGCAAAUCGAGCGGUAACGGGCCUUCGGGUGCCGACGAGUGGCGAACGGGUGAGUAAUACAUCGGAACGUGCCCGAUCGUGGGGGAUAACGAGGCGAAAGCUUUGCUAAUACCGCAUACGAUCUACGGCUGAAAGCAGGUGACCGCAAGGCCUUGCGCGGACGGAGCGGCCGAUGGCAGAUUAGGUAGUUGGUGGGAUAAAAGCUUACCAAGCCGACGAUCUGUAGCUGGUCUGAGAGGAUGAUCAGCCACACUGGGACUGAGACACGGCCCAGACUCCUACGGGAGGCAGCAGUGGGGAAUUUUGGACAAUGGGCGCAAGCCUGAUCCAGCCAUGCCGCGUGCAGGAUGAAGGCCUUCGGGUUGUAAACUGAUUUUGUACGGAACGAAAAGCCUUCUUUUAAUACAGGAGGGUCAUGACGGUACCGUAAGAAUAAGCACCGGCUAACUACGUG